GAAAACACUACUGAGUCUUUAACUUCUUGAUGACUGCUGAUUGUCAACAUGAAAUCAAAGAUUGCACUGCCAGAUCAUCACGCCCUCAGUUUCCGAACAGGGGAACGGCUUCGAUAACGACCAUAACCAGCUCCCUCCCUCUCAUACAUAGGUCCAGGUUCAUCAAACCUCUCAUAAACAGGACUACGAGGACGGCUGUAUGAACUUGGUCGGCGCUCG
rnacentral:misc_RNA from 1 species